GGUGGUAGACCCACCGAAAUCGUCAUACAGGUGGAGAUUUCAAACUACCUUAAGGUGCUGUGGUCAAAAGCCACGGUAUUGAGCGUUAAGGAAAAGGCGGUGCAAACCGUC
rnacentral:ncRNA from 1 species